rnacentral:rRNA from 1 species
AUAUCAGUAAGCGGAGGAAAAGAAACCAACAGGGAUUGCCCUAGUAACUGCGAGUGAAGCGGCAGCAGCCCAGAUUUGAAAUCCGCCGGUCCAGCAAUGGAUGGCCGAGUUGUAAUCUGCAGAGGAGGCGCCGGACGAGCGGCGGUGGGAGUCUGCUGGAACGCAGCGCCUAGGAGGGUGACAGCCCCUUAACCACCGCGCGGCGAGACCGCGAGGAGCCCCUUCGGAGAGUCGCGUAGCUUGGGAAUGCUGCGCAAAGAGGGAGGUAUACCUCUCCCAAGGCUAAAUACCGGCUGGAGACCGAUAGCGCACAAGUAGCGUGAGCGAAAGAUGAAAAGUUCCUUGGAAAGGGGGUUAAAUAGUACGUGAAAUUGCUGAGAGGGAAGCGCUCGUGGGUAGACCCGGGCGCGGCGGUUCCUGCCGGCCUCGCCGCCGGUUUACUGCGCCGCGCCCGGGCCAGCACCGGCCCGGCUCCUAGGCUAAUAGCGGCGGGAACGUAGUCUCUCUACGGAGGGGCGUUAUAGCCCGCCGCACGACGCCGUGGAUCGGGUCGAGGACCGCGCCUAGUGCGAGGGUGCUGGCGUAAUGGCCACUAGCGACCCGUCUUGAAACACGGACCAAGGAGUCGUCCUCGCAUGCGAGUGUUUGGGCGGCGAUGCCCAGGCGCGGAGUGAAAGCGAACGUAGGUGGGAGCCCCUCCGUCUUGGAGGGCGCGCACCACCGACCGAUCCCGAUGUACUCGGACGGAUUUGAGUAUGAGCAUGCGGGGCCGGACCCGAAAGGGGUGUGAACUAUUCCCGCGUAGGGUGAAGCCAGGGGAAACCCUGGUGGAGGCUCGCAGCGGUUCUGACGUGCAAAUCGAUCGUCAAACGCGGGUAUAGGGGCGGAAGACUCAUCGAACCCCCUAGUAGCUGGUUUCCGUCGAAGUUUCCCUCAGGAUAGCAGUGCCGACCUCGGUUUUAUGAGGUAAAGCGAAUGAUUAGGGACGCGGGGGCCUGAACUGGCCUUCAUCCAUUCUCAAACUUUAAAUAUGUAAGAAGCCCCUGUUGCCUAGGCGAACGCGGGCGCUCGGAACGAAUCGGCACUAGUGGGCCAUUUUU